AUCAUUCUUGUACAGAUUUCAGUAUUUUAUUGAGUAAGUAAAAGAAUAUUCACAUGGUAAAUAAUGUAAAAAAAAAACAAAUAAUCAAAAAGGCAAAAUUCAAUUACAAAAAAAAACAAGAUUUAGAAUAUAAAGAAUCGUUUUCAAGCAAACAUGAAAUAUAUUAGAUUUUGAAGGCAAACGUUAACACUGCUUCUACACAUUGCCAUUCACAAAGACAAUAUUAACAAUCUUGAAAUUUUUCUCUAUUUUCAGAAGAAUGGGUCGGUCGCCUCGUCAGCUCUAGAUGGAUGACCAAGAAUCGCCAAAACGGUACUGCGGCCUUGAUGCGGGCCUCUGCGGCCAAUAAGGUCUCUUCAAGUUCUCGUCGGUCCGUCCGUCUGGUUUUCGGGUCUUUUUUUUUUGUUGUGCUACCUUUUUAGCACCGUAGGACCAACAUCGGCUGAUUGGAGGACGAAAAUGUCCUUUAACUGCGUUGCUACCUAACCUAACCAUGAGCUCAUGUUUGGUUAUAGCCUGUAACCCAAACAACGGCAGUCCAAGGGUCGAACGUCAGUAAAGCAGUUUGGUUUGCUAGUCUGGAGAAACUAAAAAGAGUACCUUAGGAACGCUGGGGAAUGCAACAGCGUCUGGAUCCCUCGCUGGUGGAUGGUGUGCGUUGCGGAUGUGGUGGUGACCAGUGUGGCGGUGACCAGGGUGUCGGUAGCCGAUGUGGCGGUUGUUGAUGCAGCGGUUGGUGAUGGAAGCCUUCUUCUUUGUGCGGCAGUGGAGGUGGAGGAGGCGUGGAUUUUGAUUUUUAUGUUUUUGACUUUUAGUUUUGAAAUGUCCACUUGUUUAUUUUAAUUUUAAUUUCUAUUUCUUUUCAGGUUUUUAAUAUAUUCCUUUUUUCAGGUAUUUAACGUUCAUUUCAUUUCAGAUUUUUGACAAAGUUUUUCUUCUCUUUUUUUUUUACGUUACCAUUUCAAUUGGCUCUUUAUGUAUCGUCUCUUCACUUUUCAGGCAUUUCAAAUUUUCUAUUUCUUUUUUUUUUUUUUUAAAAAAACUGUCCUUUUUAUUUUGUUUAAAUCCGUUUUUUUCACAUUCAUAUGAAUUUAAAUAAAACACAUUUACCAAAUUUA